CUUUUUAACACAAGAGGUCCCAGUUGAUGAUGCAGGGAGAGGAACUGUGGAAAGCAGUUUCCCAUGUUUGGAGGGUCCACACCUGUCCCUUUCAAAUGCUGGCACUUUCACACA
rnacentral:snoRNA from 1 species